rnacentral:rRNA from 1 species
UACGUAGGGUGCGAGCGUUGUCCGGAUUUAUUGGGCGUAAAGAGCUCGUAGGCGGUUUGUCGCGUCGGCCGUGAAAUCUCCACGCUUAACGUGGAGCGUGCGGUCGAUACGGGCAGACUUGAGUUCGGUAGGGGAGACUGGAACUCCUGGUGUAGCGGUGAAAUGCGCAGAUAUCAGGAGGAACACCGGUGGCGAAGGCGGGUCUCUGGGCCGAUACUGACGCUGAGGAGCGAAAGCGUGGGGAGCGAACAGG